CUCCUUCUAUGCUCCUUCCCUCCACUCUGUUUCCUCCCAUCCGGAAAACCUCUCAGUCUUCCAACAGAAGAGAAAUGUGCAGCUUUGAGAAGGAGAGUGGGAAAAAUGGCAGUGGCUAUGAUGAUGACACUGGAAAACGAGAGGAGCUGAGGUCAAAGGGAAAAAGGUGUAAGGUAAGGAGACCAAGCUGUGUCCUGUGUGGGAGAUUUUCAGUCGAUGUGCUGCCAGCAGAGCUUGGUGAGCUGUCCCUGUGAAGUGAGCCCAGGGAAGCAGCUGAGCCAAGGAAGAGCUCAGCUGGACACUGAGCUUCAGGAUGUCUUUGCAAAGGGUGUGUGGUGCAGACUUCACAUUUUCAGUGUGUAACAAUAGCAGGAGAGGACUUUGAAGGGUUUCUGGGUUCCCCCUCAGCACUUCCCUUUGCAUUCCCAAUCCUGGCCCAAGCUGCUCCAUCAGUCUGAUUUCUGUUCUCCUGCCAGGUUUCAGUGCAGAACAUGGCUAAAUUUCUUGAGGCAUGAAUGGGGACAGGACUGGAUGCUUGAUGUGAGCAUUGUACUCUACUCUUUGCAGGCUUCCUUGCUGUAUCCCACUGAAGGGGAUAAGAAGAAGGAAUCACUGUGUCUCCCUCUGAUCCCCCCGAUACGCAGGGCAGUAAGUCCCGAUGUUGGCAGUGCUGCAGGGUCUCUGCAAAGCUCUCUGCAGCUGGAUGUGCAAGAGUCCCAGGAGAUGAGGCCAAGAUCACCAGCACAUCCAAAGAGGAGAACUCUUAACAAGCAGGUUGGUAUAGGGCAUGUCUGUCCUCAAAUGACCUUAAGAAUUUUGACACAGAAGUGAUAUUUUGAAUGGUUGGAUAAAAACCAUUCUUUUCAAGAUUUCUUUCAAUUGAUUUCAAUUCCUUGAUGGGCUCAGUGGACUCUUUGAAAAGCCCAAUCACUGGGAAUGUGCUGUGGUGGUGCAGUGAAAAGUCCUCCAGUGUGAAGUGCUGAGUGGCUGGAGCUGGAGUGGUACCUUGGGGCCCUGGAAAUGCAGUGCAGGAAAAGGAAACAUUCCUCUCCAUCCAGCACUUGCCCUUCAUCUCCCUGUAGCCUUUCUAGUGUCACAAUUAGUAGACAGGCAUUUAUCUUGAAAUGGGAAAUUUUUCCAGUCCUUCGUCUUGCCCUUAAAGGAGAAAACCUUUCCUUGGGGCAGUUACUGAGCUGAACCCUUUGAGAUCUGAAGGAGAUUCAUGGACAUUGUCUGGUUCUGCACUGGGAGAAAUAGGGAAACCUCCUCUGAGGGGAAGUCCUUGUGAAAUUUCCAAUUAAGGAGAAGGAGGUUUCCAAAUGGAUGUA
rnacentral:lncRNA from 1 species